AAAUGAACAAGCUAUUUUUUCAAUUGAAUUUGACAAAGAUGGAAAUGUCGUUGAAAAAAAAGAUGUUGUAGAUGAAAUGGAAGACGACCAAAUAGAUGAAUGGAAUAUGCGACAUGUCAAACAAAAAAAAAAAAAAAAAAUUACUAUAAUAAUAAGACAAAAAAUGGAAAUAAUAAUGAUGGGUUAGUAGCUAUAGUGUCAGAAACUAUCCCAAAUACAGUCCCUCCCAAUAUACAACAAAAUUCAUCUAAAAUUGAUAACACUGUUUAUAUCCCAUUUUUAUGUCCACUUUCAUCGAAUAACAAAUUUUGUGCUGGGUACAAAAACAAACUAACUGUAGUUGAAUACGAGUCAAACACAAAAGUAAUAAUAAAAAAAAAAAAAACUUUUUUAUUAAGUCAUAAUAUAUAUUAUUUGAAAAGUUCUAUCAAUAAUGUUGUAAUAAUAUAUGACAAAAAUGAUUUAUUAAUUUAUCAGAUUUUUAGAAUAAACAAAAAGUUACGACUAAACUGUUUCUUUAAAAAAUCAGUACCAAAUGUUCAAAAAUGGAAUCUAACAAAUACGAACAAAAAUCGUUAUGACUCUUAUGAAAAUUCGAUACAAGUUGAUACAAAAAACAUAAAAAUAAACAAAAACAAUAACAUUGCAAUGUUUAUUUUUAAUUUGUUUAAUAAACACAUGGAUAAUAUGUUUAAUGAAAGACAAUCGGAAGGAAGAGAUCAUUCUAUCAAUUUGCUCGACACGUCUAUGUUGCAAACGGUUAGCACGGUUAGCACGGUUGGUGUUGGUAGUGGUGUUGGUAGUGGUGUUGGUAGUGGUGUUGGUAGUGGUGUUGGCACUGGCACUGGCACUGGCACUGAUAUAGUAGUAGGGCACGAAAAAGAUAAUACAGACAAAAAAGUAAAAACAAUACCAACUGAAACAGAAACGGAAAGAACGACAUUUUUUUGUAUUAAUCUAAUAUACAUUUACAUCUUAAACAACAAUAAAAUAGAUAUUAUUAUUAUUAACUCAACCAUAUAUUAUAUUUAUAUUUUAUUUUAUUACAAGAAAUAUAGUUACCUUUUUAUCCUAAUGUUGUAUAUGUAUAAUGUAAGGGGGUGGGGUGCGUACGUGUAUGCAUGCAUGCGUGUCUACGUGGGUGUUUACCGAUUUUUUUUUUGUCCAUUUUUUUAUGCCUCAUUUCUCAUGCUUAUCUAUUUUUAAAUUUUAACUUUUAAUUUUUAAUCCUUAGUUUUUAAUCCUUAGUUUUUAAUCCUUAGUUUUUAAUUCUUAGUUUUUAAUUUUUAAUUUUUAAUUUUUUUUUUCUUAUUUUAUUUUAUUUUAUUGUAUUUUAUUUUAUUUUAUUUUUUUUUUCGCAUGUAGGGUGACAUAAGUAUCAUGACAGACAUACCACUAGACGAAGAAGAACGAAAAAAUAAAAUAAAAACUCUUUUUUAUUUUUUGUUCAAAAUGAAUAUGAAAGAUAUAAUAGCACAAUAUGAUAUGUAUAGUACAAUGAAUGUAAAUGUAAAUACAACUCCAAACGAUAUGAAAAAUAGCACAGACGUAAAACAUGCCCAUUCGAGUGAUUAUGUAUUGGGUUUUAGUUUAACAAAUGUUAAAUUGGGAUUUUUAGGUGAACGUGGCAUUGAUGGAGAAAGUGGUAUUGAUAAAGAAAGUAGUAUUGAUGGAGAAAGCGAUGGUAUGGAAAAAACUAGUAGUAUGGAUGGAAAAAGCAGUAGUAUGGAUGGAAAAAGCAGUAGAGAUAAAAAUAGCAGUAGUGAUAAAAAUAGCAGUAGUGAUAAAAAUAGCAGUAGUGAUAAAAAUAGCAGUAGUGAUAAAAAUAGCAGUAGUGAUAAAAAUAGUAGUAGUGAUAAAAAUAGCAGUAGUGAUAAAAAUAGCUAUAUCGAAAAUAUAUAUGUUAACAGCAAGUUGAUAAAAAAAGAAUGUAUACUUGAACUUCUAAAAUUGUGCAGGGUAGGUAUUGAGCUUAGUAUAAAAUUAAACAUAAGUUUGUAUGAAUAUAUGUUUAAACUGUUUAAAAUGUAUAAAGUAGAAUUUAUUUAUUUUUACUUGUGUGAAUAUUAUAUUAUAAGAAAAAAAAUAUGUUUAACGAAUUAUACACUGAUUCAGAACUUAAUAAAACGUUUUAAAUUGUUUUAUUCCAAUUUUUCUUUGUAUGAUGAUGUUUAUUAUGACUUAUAUUUAUUUUUUAUUAAUUACAUUUUGCGUAGUAAAUAUGAGGUAAAUAAAACAGGUUUUGAAAUUUCUGACAACCAUGAUGGAUUUAGUAACGACAAUACGAAUGAAAGUUUUAUUCAGAAACAUAUUUUGAAAAUGAAAUUAAAAAGCGAGAAUAUAAAACAUAAAAUGGAGGACGUCGAAAAUAGGGAAAACAUAAGUAAUGACAACUUUAACAUGGAAAACCCAUUUGAUUCCUACUUUUGCUAUAACUACCUGAAUAUACAAACUAACUUAAAACACAUAAAAAAAAUCUACUGCUUUUUAUGCAUAAUUAAUAAUUAUUGUAAAAUUUUUGAGCAUAUAAAUAUAGAAAAAGAAAUUGAAAAUUUGAUUACUUUAUUACCUGUACAUAUAUGUGCUUUUUUGUACAAUAAAAAUAACGAAGACAAAAUAACAGUUAUUCAGUUUUUUUUAUCCUACAUGAUCAGAAAAAAAAAUAUAUUUUUUUUUAAUUUUUGUAAAAAUAAUAAAAUAAAUACAUCUGAUUUUCCUAUAUAUAUUCCUUUGUAUCUCUUCAAGAAUUUUUAUCAAACAUAUUAUUUGUUUGAUUGUAUUUAUAGUAUUUUAUUAAAGUUGUCAUUUAAUAUAAAUAUGCAUAGGUAUAAGAUAUCUGAAAAAAAUGUUAUACAAUUAAUCCAUUGUUAUUCUGAUAUAGUAUAUAAUAGUGAAGAAAAGGAUAAAAAUAAUCAUUUUUUUUCUAUUACCAACUUAAAUAAUUAUAAAAACAAUUUUUUUAUUUUCAACACUUUUUUUUUUGAAAGAAAUGAAAGAGACUGUGUUUUGAGUAAAAAUAUUGUAUGUAUAAUUAGCUACUUAUGUAAUAUGUUUGAUAAACGGUGUUUAAAUUGGAAUGGAGGGAUUGAUUUUAUGCGGGAUAGUUUGUACAUACCCUAUAUUGUUAAUAAUGUUUUUUUAAAAGAAAAAAAUAAAUCGAUUAAAGAAAGGCAAUUUUUAUUAUUUUUGAUGAAAAAAGUAAGUACGGAUACACUUGUACAUACAUCUACUACAUACAAUCCCAAUGUAAGUAACAUUUUUAACAUGGAUAAAAACGGUAUGUUUCUACUUCUCCAAAUAUCUUUAUUUCAAACUUAUUUUAUCAUAAAUAAUAUUCUUUUUAAUUAUGACGUAUUCAAAAGUAAUAAUGACAUAACAAAUAUGUUAAUGGAUAAUAUAUUUGAAUAUUAUGUCUAUAUAGUUAAUACUUUUAUACAAUAUAAAAAACAGUUAUAUAUUAUGUUAAAGCAUAUAAUAUGUGAUGAAAAAAAAUUAGAACAAAAGUUUAUAACUAUUAUGAAUAAAAUAGUUGCGUGCUCAUGUUAUGAACAUAUAAAACAAUUUUCUUUUGAAAUGGCUCAUAAUUUAAAAUACGAAGCAAUAUAUCUAUCGGAGCAACAACACAUGCAAAAUUCUUUAUUUAUAACUAUUCGUUGGAUUGUUAUACAAUUAUAUUUUAUUAAAAAAAAUAUAAUGACAUUAGUUAAUAGCAUUACUUAUAUGUUAAUUUUGUUUUUUAUCUUCGCGAGUCACAAAAAUAAGAAUUACUUAUUUUUUGAUUAUCUUUUAAAUAUAUUUUUUAUUAACUUUAUGUUGCGGGUAAAAAAAAUGGAGUUUCAUAGGGAGGGUAAGAGUGGGAGCCUAACACGGAGUGAUAAGCGGAAAGGUAGCACUUUCAUUAGUGGUAAAAGUGGUAGCAGUGGUAAAAGUGGUAGCAGUGGUAAAAGUGGUAGCAGUGGCAGAAGUGGUAGCACUUCAAUUAGUGGUAAAAGUGGCAGAAGUGUUUCACCCUGCUCUAGUGAUAGCACAACCACGAUGCAACAAAAAAAAAAUAGAAACAUGUUUUAUAACUUUUUAGGAUUAAAAAAAAAACACAUUUUUAUAAAAAAAAAAGUGGUAAAGUAUUACAGGGAAGGUAUUUAUUAUGACUGUUUUAAUAUUAUUAAUUAUAUACUGAUACGUGUGUAUGGUUUAGACAUUUGUGAUAUAUUUUUCGAAGAUAAAAUGGGUUGUAUGGAGUGGAUGAAUAUUGACCUGGUGAUUAAUAGUGGCAGUAGUAGCAGUAGUAGCAGUAGUGGCAGUAGUGGCAGUAGUAGCAGUAGUAGCAGUAGUAGCAGUAGUAGCAGUAGUAGCNNNNNNNNNNUAGUAGCAGUAGUAGCAGUAGUAGCAGUAGUAGCAGUAGUAGCAGUAAUAGCAGCAGUAAUAGCAGCAGCAAUAGCAGUAACAAUCGCGAAAAAGGCGUAACACAAGACGAACCCACACAGUUUGGAAAAAAUAAAUAUAAAGUAAAAUUGUUGAAGAGUAAAUGU
ensembl:lncRNA